GGGGAUUUAGCUUAGUGGUGGAGCACUUGCCUAGCAAGCGCAAGGCCCUGGGUUCGAUCCCCAGCUCCA
rnacentral:tRNA from 1 species